AUAUUUUCUUCUCUCACUUCAUUGUGACGAUUUUGAUAAUAGAGGACAGAACGUUUCAUUUUUUGGUUUAAAAAAAGAAACAGAUCUAUCUCCACUUCCUUUUACCCUUUUUACUGUGUUCUUUCUUCUCUGCAUCUUCACUUUGAAUUUCAUUUUUUUGUACAGUGUCAUUCUGCAAUUGCUUUCUUUGAGCACUUUCAUUGCGAUCGCUGCAUAUUAAUGGUUGUGUUAAGGGCUUUUUCUUUGUUUUGAUUCCCAUUCCCUUUAGUAUUUUUUAUUUUUUGCCUUUCCUUUCUCUGUUUUUGUUUUUAUUUUAUUCCGUUUCUUGAUAUGCUGUUUUCUAAUGCUUUUAAGAAUAUGUUAAGUCCGUGUAUUCAAAAGCUUCUUCGAGAAAGUGCUUAAUUCUAUACUUUUAUUUCGUUUGCUUUUGAAAUAUACAAGUUCACGUAUGAUUUGAUUUUCUAUGUUGUUUGAUUCUUUUUAACUUCUUUGGAUAAUGUUAUGAGUUUGAUGUGUUUUUUUUGUACUUUAUUUGUUGAGUUUACUCGCGGCCUUUUGUUUCGAUUUUUUUAAUGUUAUUUUUUUUCUUUAAUCCGUAUUUUGGAAAGUUUAUUAAUUGCUAUUACUAGCUUCAUUAUACUAUUCAUUUUUACUUCACUGAAAUUGCAUGCGAUAAACUAAAAAUCUUCAACAAAAUGUUUUUGUUUUGUUGAUUUUGAUCUUGGUGGUUGUGGCCGGUGGUUGAUGGUUCUAUGUGUAGGGAUUAUUAGAGAUGCUACCCAUAACUGAGAAUUGAGAAGUGGGAUUGAUUAUCUUUUCAAGUUCGAGUGCUGUUAUUGUAUGGUUAAAUUGUCAAGGGAUAGUAUUGCUUUAAUGAAAAUGAGUUGGAAUUUCUGUAGAAUACUUUUGGAUAAUGAAAAAGAGAAAAGGGAGUAAGGAAAUUGAUUAUGUUUUCAAAUGAAGAAAACAAGUAAGAAAUCAAAUUGCUGUCUAUAAGACAUGCUAUCUGGAUUCGUCUUAUUAGACCAUAAUGUCUGAUUUACUUUUGGAUAAGCUUAAUGGAGGUAAAAUAUAAAUUGCUGCACUAUGAAUUGUCUAUUUGUGGUACAAGGUUAUUUAAUGCAUUCAGGUUGUACUUUGUUUGUCAUAUUGGAUUAGAAACUAAUUUUAAUUGAGUUUCUAUAAUGCUGUCAUUUGCGUUUCCUAUCUUUGUAAUAAUUAAUUGAAGUUCUAACCUAUAUUAAUGUGUAAAAUAUUGCUUAAAAAUCUUUUUCCUUGAAUUAUUCUGAAUAGGUGUACCAUCCUUAAAGUUAUAAAAGAAGUGUUUUAUCAUUAUCAUUGCUCAUUAAAUUCGAUUUCCAAAAAAAAUUUAUGCGAUUCAUUUUUUUUUUUUUUUUUUUUGGGAUAAGAAAUAGUUGUUGCCUCUUCGGUGAGCUAUGGUUUUAUUAUCAUAAUGAUAUUUCAUCCGGGGGAUUGGGGAGGGGGUUUAAUAGAUUUGUAUUGAUUGAUUUUUUUUUUUGGGGUGUAUUUACAUAUAAGGGAAUCGCUAAAAUAGUUUGAUCAAUUGACCUCUAAGUUAUGCUACCAGUAGUAAUUUGUUAAAAUUUUAUUGUUGUUGUGAUAUUUGAAUUCAGUAACUGGUCAUUAAUCUUUUCUCCUCUGAUAAUCCUUUUGGGUUCUUAGGUGAAGUAUUCAAGCCGUAAGAGUAGCACUAAAUAAAUUCCUUAACCUUGAUGGAAGUACGAGUCCAGUUUGUAAAAUUUUCUGUUCUUUAUUGGCAUGUCUGUUGGCAACUCUGUCUACAUUGUUUGCAUUCAGGAUGCAAGUGUCAAAUAUGGUAAUUGUCCACCACAAAUACAUUCAAUCUUCUUAAUUUUUCCCUUAUACUUGGAGGAUCACCCUUGAUACCCAUGUAAUCUUUGAAUUGUCCAGUACAGGUGUGCUAGGAAAGUAAAAGAGUUGGAGCAACAUUAUAUGGAUUGUUCAAGGGCUGAUAUUUUAUAAUUUUAAAGGUUUUGUAGUGAACAGAAUGGGUUUUUUUUUUUUUUUUCCCUGAAGUUUAAGGAUAUUUAAUGGAUAGUUUAUGGCUUUAAUUUUCAUUAGAUCAUGCUCUGUAUUUCUAUUUCAAAAGUAACUUAAUUGUCAGCUAAAACUGAACUCCUAGAAUUGUCACUCCAAUGCGUACCCUUUGUCUAAUCCUUAUCAGUUGAAGGAAGCAUGAUCGAACUCUAUUAGAAUCUUGAUUUUUUAAAAAAUCUUUGGCAUCAUAUUAGCUUCUGAUAGAUUAGAAUCUGUCUCAAAUAAGAUAUAAUUAAAAAUGGCUUGCAUAAACUCAUUAUGCAAAUUAGUACAACAUGAUGUAUUUGAAAAUUUUAAGUGCUUGGUUGUCUGAUUUUAUUGAAAAUUCUAGCUAUGCCAUGUCUUUGGUCUGAAAAUUGAUUUAUAUUAAGAAGCAGCUUCAAAAAAAUUCAAUAGAAGGAUAACAAAGAUAGUGGUUAAAACUUAGGUACUUCAAGGGUAGGUAAACAGACAAAAAAGUGCACCCCAUGCUGAAAAUUUUGGAAACUCUUCAUAUGUACCUUACAAGGGCCUUGAAAAGAUUAUUUAUAGUUAGUAUUUAGUAACUUUAGGGUCCUGAUCUCUGUGAUUACUUGUACAUUCCUUAUACAGAUUUCCAAGCAAGUUAAACUCACAUGCUUAUCACUUGAAUUUUGAGAAUAUGAAGGUUUUUAAAUAGAAAGUUGAAAAUGUUUAGCAGUAUACUUUUUACUUUAUUGUUUGUGUGUACUAGUCCAAUUGGACCAAGGAAAUCCAGUAGUUUUGGGCCGCUAUCUGGCUAAAGGGGCUGUUGUAAUGGUGGUGGCAUUGCAAGUAAUUUAGGUUUGCCUCAAGUCAAGCUUUACUUGUUCUUUUGUUGUUGGUGGAGAUCGAGACUUGGAAUCUUUGGUUGUAGCAUUAGUUAUUUUUAUAUGAUACAGAUAUUUAGAGCUUUUUUUGAGUUGAUAGGUGGAGCUAGAAGCUGACUUAGAGGUAUAGAGUUAUAUAGGGCAAACCUGUUGGGGAAGUCCAAAGCUAAACCUUGUAAAAAACCAUGCGAAUUAAGAAGAUUAUGUGCUUGGAAAAUUUGGGUGUAUGAUAGAUUUAGUUUAGUUAUUUUCAUUGGAUAUUCAUUAAAUUAGAGUUAAAUAUCUUACGACUCUUAUUGUUGAGAAAUAAAUACGUGAAGUCUUUGUACAUUUACCUUACUAUAGUUGCCAAAUGUUUACAUCAUUCUAGGGUUUACUUUUCAUAUUCCGUAGCACUGCUGAUUACUCUAGGAGUUGUUCUGUAAUUUUUGUUUUUCAUAUUUAUUUUCAAAUAGGCUUUGAUGGCUUCUAUGUGGCAUUUGAUUUAACUGCACAAUUAGAGAGGAGAGGAGAAUGUGAUCUUAUAGGAGCUUGAAAUCCAAUUGUUUGGUCCUGGCAUACCAGUUUAAAAAUUUGGUUCAAUGGUUCUUCAUUUAUAGCAUUGAAACAUAUAUCGACCUUUCAGUUUGGAUUAUGGGAACUACCUUUCUUCUAAUUGAAGGCAAGCACAUACUUGAGUGGUGCUAAAAUUUUGAUAGAUUUGGUCAUUUAUUAAACUUAUAGGUUUGUGGUCUUUUGUUGUGGUAGCAUAUAGCCUGUUUGAUUUAAAUAGAUAUAAGUCAUUUAAUGUCUUGUGCUUAGAAUCCUUAAUUCUUAAAAUUAUGUUUUACCUUGUGCCUCUGGCUUUCAUCUUAGGAUCAAGUAGCAUAAAUAAUUGGUUGCUCUUUAUCAAUAGCUUACCUUCUUCUGUCUCUAAUUAUUUUUUAAAAAUUAUUUCAAAUAACAGAAAUGUAGUUUUCGUAAGGGUUUAUCUACAUUCAAACUGAGUUGUUUUUUUAUUAAUCUGCAAUAUAAUGCUUUGUGCUCAAUUACUGUCUCAAUGGUUUGUUGUAUGACUUAUAAGCGUAAGGACUACAUGGUUUCUGUGGUAUAAUAGAGAAAAUUAGUUCUUGUUAAUAGUUAUCAGAAGGCUUCUCUUCCAUUAUUAGUUACUUAAGUCCUUAAAAUAUCAUUGGACAAACUAGUUAGCUAAGACAUGCUCACAUCACCUCAAUGGCUCUAAACCUCAAUUGGGAUCUUGUCAUAUCAUACAAGCUGGAAUAUCUUCACUUAUCUGGGUGUUCAUGUACUUCUGCUUGAUUAUGUUAUUCCAUCUUGGAGUUGGAAAAUUACCUAGAAUCAUAACUUUAAAUCCCUUUUCAUUACUUGUCUUAAGAUAUUGGCGAAUUUGGGGAGCACUUUGCCUGCAGUCAGCAGAUGACAACUUGUUGAAUGGAUGAACCUGUAAAGCACAAUAAUUCUCCAUAUUAUAAUUCAAGGAAAAACAGCAUAUAUGUUUUCUUGAAGCUACUGCCUUAACUUUUCUGGAAGAAAAAUUUUCUCCUGUAACUGAUACACAUACUGACAGAUCUUCUCCUCAUGCGUUUAAUGCAUCAUGUUUAAUUUUCUCAUCUUGGAAUGUGAGCCCAAAUAUCAUGAUUAUCAUGUUUAUCACUGCAAUAAAUCCAUGUGCUUUUUUAGUCAGAUGCAAUGUGCAGCCUAAGAUUGUAAAAAAUAGAUUUUUUACCUUAUAGUUCUGAAGGGGGUACUUACCUGACAUCCUGCCUGCCAACAUGCCACUUCUGGCAUUUAUGACUACAUUUCUGUUUAACUAACAUGAAUCGGAUUCAGGAGAAGAGUGCUGAUACUAUAAAAACAUUGAAAGUUUCAAGGGUUCAAGACUUCUGCACUGAGCACGAGAACUGUUCUUUACCUGCCUGCUGGAAAUUAAUUAUGCUAAUUAUGUGUAUGGAGUGGGUUUCAAAUUUCUUGUAGCUCCUUUUCCUGUGAGGAUAUUAUAGUGCGAGAAUAUGGCUACCUUUAUUGUUAUAACUCUUUUCCCAGCCUCCCAUGAUCCGAAUAGUUUUUCUCCUUUUGCUCAAUUCUACGAAGCAGUUCUAAUUAUAUUCUGUUUUCAUAUCUACGUUUGAUGUAUGCAUGAAUGCCUACAGUUGACUACAACCUUUUCACAUACUAUGUAAUUAUAUCACCUAUUAUCAUCACAUUUAUCAGUAUGAAUUAUUUGAUUUCAAGUAGUUGUUGAUUUUCUCCAAUAUAGUCAAUACAAUUACUGACGAAGAUGAAACUUAGUCGUAUAACCUUUGUAUUUGACCUUGAGGAUUGAUAAAAGGUAAAAUUACUGAGCAGUAAGGAGUACGCUGCUGAAAUGGCGACUAUACCGGCAAGGUAGUGUGCUAAGAAAGUUUUGGCCUGUCUAGAUCAGUUACUAAAGCAUGUUUUUUGUAAUGUAAAUCCCGCAAAUCAUUUCUUAUUUUCAAACGAAGUUGCUUGUUAUCCUGUUAGUGCUCUAUUAAUUAUGUAUAUUCAGUUAUCAGUUCAUUUGAUUCCCCCCCUCCCACUCCCUUUUUUUCUGUUUUAAGUUUUUUCUUUCAUCAAGGUCAAGGAUGCGAAGCUAUAAGCAAAAAGAAAACCAAUCUAAGAAUUUUUUUAUUGGAUAAAACACGUAGUAAAAUUGCAAUUUGCAGUCAGUAAAUCAAUUUUGUUGAACACAAUAAGUUCACAAGGCAGCAGAGUAACACCAGACACAAACAGUGCAUUCUAAUAAUUGUGUAAAUUACACAGGAUAACUUGUUUCUCUGUUCAUUUUACUGCAAUUCUAAAGUUUUAAUUUCAUAUGAAAUCCUUUUCUUUAUGCUGAACAUACUCUAUCUAAUAGCUGGAAUACGAAAGCUCACUGGUAGAAGCUUUAGUUUUUAAUCGUGGACAAGUUGUUGAUAGGUUGCUGAUGAUGUCCAUUGACGGUUGUCUGGCCAGCUUGCUAAUGCAGUUUGCAUCAUUCUUAGGAGGUUGGGGCUGGCUUAAUUGGAGAUGAACAGGUCAUCACCUUAAGAUUGUGGUUGUUAGAGGGUAAAGGACUUACACUCAUCACUCGAGCCAUAGGUGUAUUUAUGCAAUGUCCUGGUGAGGUUGGGAUUAGGCUAUGGCUGCAACCUCAUGAGGGAGUGCUCAUGUCCAUGCAGCAAGCCCCUAAAGAAAGGCACAUUGUUGGUAAGUUUUUGCAUUCAAGUCUUUCAUGACAUUGAUUCCUUGGUAGGUAGGGCUCCUAUGCCACACCCAAGGAGAUUUGUAAUUACUGGUAAUUUCCUUUUCCAUUUAUCUAUUUAUGAAAAAGAGGUUAUAUAGGUUGUUAGCAUGUGCCGGCUAGUAGAUUGGCUAUUGAAAAAUAAUAUACUAUUUUUGAAGGAAAAAUAAUUUAUUUUAAUUUCAUAAUGUUUUUGUUUGGGGGACAGGGAAGGGUCGAAGGGGACUUGGAUUUGCGAAGAGUGCAAAAAGGUUAUGUGUAGCUUAUUGAAGUCAUCUUAUGCUCUUUGGAGGAAUUUAUUUAUGAGAGUGUAACAAGUUAUUUGUCCUCCACCAUUGAAGUCACUCUGCCCCCUCCUAGUUUUUAUGCUUAUAGUGUGGUCAAACUUGGUGCUUUCUAAGGAGGAGAACAAUGUUCCUUUCAUAAUCUUUUUGAGUAUAGAGGUAUGAUCAGCUGAUAUGUUCAUUGCGAUUUAUUACAGUGUAUUUUGUGCUAUAUUGGCAUUUUGUGACAUUUGCAUAUUGAUGCCUCUUAUCUCUUGUUUGCUAUUUGGUCCUCACUAACAAUAACUUUAAUUCACCACUCACAAGCAAAUGGGCUAGAAAUCAAUCCUAGAUAUUGGUUUAGACUGAUUUUCCCAAUCACCACCCAAGUGGGCUGGUGAAUUACCCUUUUUUUGUUUGGCCACAUUGAGAGCACCUGCACUUCAGCUAUAAGAAAUUUAUUAAGACUUUGUUGUUGACUGUACCAUCUAUUGAAUAUCCUUGUUUGAAUUUACUGCAACAAUGCCCGUGUUAGCUUGUUAACUGUUUUAAUAAGAUAUUUGAAAGAAUAAUGAUAUUUGGAUGCUAAGUGUGUUAUCUUCCAAUGGCUAAAUCUUGGAGGGCUGACAAAAUUCAUGAUACAAGAAUGCAAAUUGAUAGCAAGGUAUAUCCCAUGAAAAAUGAUACUAAGCUAUUUCAAAAAUACAACUGCCGAAGUGCUAUGGGCAUGCAUAUGCGAUUGAGCGGAUAGAUUUGUUGAUCAGAAAAAUGAGUGUCAUGCUUUGAAGUUGUUUAUGCCUUCAUGAAUUCGACUUUAGACUAAAAAAGAGAUACUUGAUCCCAUAAUGCAAAGCAAGGAAACUUAGUGAUUGCCUUGUGGAGCAGUGUCCUGACCUACUUGAGGUAACAAAUAGUGGAUUUGCUGAAUGUAUGAUAGGAUUGUUGCUUUAGAUUUAGAGCAGAGGGUGGCAGCUUAGUUAGGAAAGACAGUAGUUGGCUAGAAGUAGUGAUGGAGUCUACUGAACAUAAACCUGCAGAUGCAGUGGAAAAACACUUGUAAGUGACUUUGGGUACACCAAAGGGAGGUUAUGAUUUUUGAAUUGUAAUGUCACUUCUGAGAGUAUUUAACCAUCCAAGGAUCUGAUUGGGGCAAAGGAAAAUCAAUCUGCAAUGUAAACCGUGAGUAUGCUUUUCUUUAAGAUCCUUUACUAAAGCUUUUCUUGAAGAUCCUUUACUAACACCAUCAAUGAUAGUUUGAUAAAAAUGCUCAAUAUCUGGCGACCCUUCCAAAUAUUUUGUGGCAUCCAGUUGGUGGUUGUGGUAAUUUUUGCCUUUCGACUUUAAAUAUUGGUGUGCAACAACAGCAUGGGAGAUUCAAGUAUGAAUCUCUGCCAUUAGCAUAAUUAUUACUGACAUUUCACCUGGUAGUUGUUACUAAUCUCUUCUACUAAUGGAAAAAUUCAGGUUUCUUGUCUUGCUAUUUAGUAGUAAAUCAUGAAUGAUGCAGCAGGAAUUCAUUUUUGUGGUCCACUUGAGGUGCCACCAAUAUACUAUCAUGGAGACUCCGAGAGGGGUUGCAGGGUUUAGUCUUGUAAAGCCUUUGUGUGAUGGUUUCUUUUACCCUUUGACUGAGAAGGAACACCAUGAUGGUUUUGCUGAAAGGGAGAUACUCGUACGCUUGGAUGGUUUUCAUUUUUCAAUAUGUUGAAGUUUUCCUCACACUACAUUUCUUGGUUAAGAUGUGCUAGAAACUCCUUGCUGAAGCUGAUAUAUGAGACGUAGCUGAAGUUUAAGACAUUUUUGUGGCAUCAUUUCUUCUCAAUCUCAUAUGGUUUGCAGGUAAUAGACUUUUUCCUUAGCACAAUGACUGGCUUGGAUUUGCACACUAUUCAUUCAUAGAUCUAUGGGUGCCCAUGCUGGAAACAAUGCUUUACACUCCAUGAGGAGAAAGAGGAGCCCCCUCGUGCCAGUUAUGUAAUACAUCUUACUGUAAAACUUGGUAAGCAUGAGCUUAACUCAGUUAAGUACCCUUAUCAAUCCCUUUGGUUCAUCUAAGAGAUCUGGUCUGUUUUGAUAUGUUUACCUAUACUGUUUAAACCAACUUCCAGCAUCGAGGAUGUAAAUCUUGCUUUACAGUUUUUCAAAAUAGAGCUGUAGUGAUAUUCCAAAGCCUUCUAAUAGGAAGUUUUUGGUAGAUUUACGUUAGCUCUCGGCCAUGCCUUGUUGCAAGCAUAUUGUUAUGCACUAGGGGAUGGGAUAUUUUUCUUAUGCUGUGUGGAGCAGCAGUAUAUUUUCAUGGUAUGUUUUUGGAAAGUGGGAAGCUGAUGACCGGCAGAGAUCUUAUAUAGUCCUUAAAUGACUAUAUCUACGGGAAGUUGGAAAUAUGACGAAUUUUCCGAUUGUCUGGCAGCACAACAUGCCAUCGGUAUGUCUUUUUCUUCCCUUCAGUGCUCCACUUGACAAUAAAUGAAGUAUCAGCCAGGUUCUUUAUUUUCUGCUUCUCUUUCUUUUCUUUGAUGGUCCUAAUUUCGGAAGAAAGUUGGUCAUAGCUUCACAUGAGCAUGGUUUCUGUUUUGUUGCUUGGUGGUUCAUCCAAUUUGUUGUGCCUCUUUUUGUAGUUUUCCAUUUACUUGGUACUAGUGAGAAGCAUGCCUUUGAAGCAGGAAGUCAUAUUGUUAUUAGGUAUUCUGAAAUCGUUCGGAAAAAGAAAAAAACAAUGUAGAUGAUCGUCACUAUAAAACCACAUAUCGCCAACAAGAUUAAAAACUUCAUCGUUGUGUUCACUGAUGUUUAUUGAACCUUUAACCAAGACAGUGAGUUGCUACAUGUCCAGUUACCUUGAGUUGUUAUGCGCAAAAGUAUAAUGAAAAACACAGUCAUGUCAAAGGUUUAAUUAUUUCUAGGCAAAAGUGGACAUUUUAAAAUAUUAGCCAAACCCAGAAGUUAAGUCUUUUUUAUGAUGUUCAUUUCCUUCACUAACUGCAAACUAUGGUUUUUUUUUUUUCCUUCCAAAACUUGAUCACUUGCUAAAGAGAAAGUAGGGAAAGUGCCAAUUAAAGCAAUUUAAAAUUUCAAACUAUAAGCAUAUUACUACUUUCAAUGUAAUGGCAAGGCUAAGAGAAAGCAACCGGAGUUUCGUAAAAAAAACAGAAUGUGUGUGCAUGGUUUAGAUAAUGAAAUGAAUACGAGGAUUUGUAAGCAAUUAUGAGACGGUAAUUUGUGGAAUAAAUGGAAGUAAGUGAAGGAAAAUUACCUUGACUUCAGAAGCGGGAUUCAUUAGUUGAUGAUGUUCUUUUUGGUUGUUGUAGCGAUCGAUGACAGAUUUCAUGCUGAUAAAAGUGAGUCAACAUCAGUAUUGUAAAAGGCGGAUGCCACUUCGUAGUUCCUGUCGGUACACUUGAUGGAUUUGGGCACUACCUUACUUUUGCACAGUGAUUGUGUUUCUAAGCAUUACUAAUUUAUUAUUAUUGUAGUGGCUAAUUUUAAGAAAAUAUGAACGUAUCUUCCAAAUUACCUAACCAAUGAAAGAAUAAGGAUUUAAAGAUCAACAACUUACUUUAUGGUAUGAGAUGAUGAUGAUGAUGAAAUUAAUUAAGAGUAAUUAGUAGAUGAAGGAAAAUAAAAAAAAAUGCACGUAAUAAUUAGUUUAUUAUUAACAGCUUGUAACUAAUGUUAUCAUGGUAAGCAACUGUCUGUCUUAUGAUAAACUAGUCUAGUGUAGCUACAAAUAAAAUUCUGGCAAGAAAUGACUAAAUAAUUAACCUUUUUGCUAAGUACAUUAAUGGUUGAAUCUAUCAUAGGUUAUAGAUCAAUUAUUCAAACAAACCUUCAGUACAUCUUUCUGCCAUCAUUAACACUUCGAAUUAAAGAGUAGCAAUUAAUGUUAUUAAUAUUAAUCUCAAGUGAAAGCGAAAUUUGGUGAGAAAUUACAUCUUCCAUCUUCAUCUGAAUCAACUCACACCUUCUUAGAUUUUUGAAUAAUUAGAUUCACACUUUGUAUGUAAUGCAAGUUACUUAUUUUUCAAAUAUGAGGAUUUGAAAAAUCAUUUCAUAUACUUUGUUCAUUAGAACGAGAGAGAAGGAAAUGCAUUAAUCAUUUACCUGUUCAAAGAUUGCAUAUUUUAUCAUUUUUCUUUUGUACAAAAGAGAUUACUCUAAAAGAUGUUAUUGGGUUUUAUACUUGUCGAGAGUUUAGUAUGAGGUGUGUGUAAUUAUUUUUUGAUUUUGUUAUUUUUUUAGAAUUCUUACAAGAUAUUAGGAUUAUAUAUAUUGCUCAAAGUUAGGAAUUUUUGCCCCCAUAAACUCAUCUACUUAAUUAAUAAACUCAUCUACGUUAUAUUGCUUAUAAACCAAUAAAAAAUGGAGCCUCAAUAUUAAGUUAGUUGGUAUCCACCAAUUUAAGAUCCAUGUAUAGUGAUCUAAAGGAAAAACUAUUAACAAUAUAGGAUGUUUUUAGUGCUUACUCAUGUUCAUGCAUGCAUAAGCACAUUCGCAAAAUACUUAAGUUUCA